UACGUAGGGUGCAAGCGUCGCCCGGAUUUAUUGGGCGUAAAGGGCGCGUAGGCGGCUCUGCACGUCCGUUGUGAAAUCGCCCGGCUCAACUGGGCGGGGUCAGCGGAUACGGCAGAGCUUGAGCAAGCUAGGGGGCAAUGGAAUUCCCGGUGUAGUGGUGGAAUGCGUAGAUAUCGGGAGGAACACCAGUGGCGAAGGCGGUUGCCUGGGGCUUUGCUGACGCUGAUGCGCGAAAGCGUGGGGAGCGAGUCCGG
rnacentral:rRNA from 1 species